CCGGCUUUAAAAACAAAACGGCCCCGUUAGUCCCUGUGGGGAGAACCAGUCGUGCGAACAAACGUCUUCUUCCUAGGGCCUGAAUCUUUCACGAUCCUGUUCUUUAAAACGAGCCUUUACCUUUCUUGCAGGAGACCAAGGACACCGGGAUAUAACUAAACCAAAGCCUAUUUCUCCCCUCUCAAAGUGCACCUCCUUUGAGCUGCUCAGAUAGACCAUAAGAACCAUUUCCUGUCUCUGGACAUAGCGAGAUUUUUCUGCGCGAAGUGUAAUUCCUGAUGUGUGACUAGUGGCAUGCGAUGUGUGCACACGUGCGCGUGUGUGCAUGAAAUACGUUCUUGGAGUACGUGCUGGUUUUAAUAGCUAAGAUAUCAAGGGAGCCUCAGGUGUCAAUUCCAUUACCAUUUGAACACAGACUGGAAGGUCCUCUGCUCCCACAGCACACAGGUUCUCCCUCAGAGGAGCAGCAUGGAGGGAAGAUAAUCAACAUGGCUGGUUUUCCAUCUGGCACAUAAACCAGCAGUGGCUGUGGGCAUGUGAGUAUUUGCUGGGCGUUGACCUGCUCAUUUUCUCAUAAAUGGGUUUUUAGAAAUUCUGAGAUGUGCACUCCCAAAAUUAAGAUCAAUUCUAUUGAUGGUUCGUGUGUGUGUGUGUGAAAGAGCAAACUUCUCUGUCUGAAAUUGGUUGCAAUUGGUGAUAGAUUAUAGUACAUGUGGGCAAAGCAUCUUGAAAUAACAUUUCCUUCUAAUUAUUGACUUACUUGAACCUUGUCUGAAAAGGAAAAAAAUAGAAAAUACAGGACUUAGAUUGAAUAUUAAGUACAAACAUAUAACUCAAAUCCCUUAAACUGUUAAGAUUUAAUUUUUUCAUAUUUUAUGUUUAAUUAUUUUGCCAUACUAGGACUUGAACUCAGGGUAUACACCUUGAGCUACUCCACCUUGAGCCACUCCACCAGUCCUUUUUUGUGAUGGGCUUUUUUGAGAUAGGGUCUCAUGGAACUGUUUGCCUGGGGCUGGCUUCAAACUGCAAUCCUCCUGAUCUCAGCCUCCUGAGUAGCUAGGAUUACAGGUGUGAGCCACCAGCACCCAACUUAUGUUUAUUACUUGGAAAUAACAGCAUUAGGGUGUCAGAGCUUGCAAAAAUACAGGAUGCCAGUUAAAAAUAUUUUAACAGACUUUAUAUUUU
rnacentral:lncRNA from 1 species